rnacentral:rRNA from 1 species
UACGAAGGGGGCUAGCGUUGUUCGGAAUUACUGGGCGUAAAGCGCGCGCAGGCGGUCUUCCAAGUCAGUGGUGAAAGCCCGGAGCUCAACUCCGGAACUGCCAUUGAAACUGUAAGACUUGAGGACGAGAGAGGUGAGUGGAAUUCCCAGUGUAGAGGUGAAAUUCGUAGAGAUCUGGAGGAAUACCGGUGGCGAAGGCGGCCCCCUGGACAAAGACUGACGCUCAGGUGCGAAAGCGUGGGGAGCAAACAGG